GGAUUGUGGCUCAGCGAUAGCGGUAGAGCGCUCGCCUAGCACGGGCGGGACCUGGGUUCGAUCCUCAGCACCA
rnacentral:tRNA from 1 species